CAUUAAAUAUCUUAAGUAAAAGAAUUGAUUUUUUAAUUCAAAUUAUAAUAAUUAAAUUAUUUUUAAUGA
rnacentral:tRNA from 1 species